AAACCUGGGGUUAGAGUUUACAAAAUAACUAACACGUUGCCCGUGGGGACCCACGGGCUCUGGAUUGGGUAGUGUUUAAAAAAUAGGUAGCUGACAUUUUUCAGGGGGGUAAUAAAUUAUGCAAAGCUCCUAUAAUGAUUUAGAAUGGCGUGCGACCCCAGAAUGUAAUUAUCAAUGUCCAUCAUUCACUGUUGUUAGCUAAUAUCUGUAAUUUCUCCAAA